rnacentral:sRNA from 1 species
AAGGUCGCGCUUUAAAUACACACACGUUUCGACACAUACGAUAGGGUCCCUGAAGGGGUUUCGUAUGGGAGGCGUGGAGGAAUAAC